CCUACGGGAGACAGCAGUGAGGAAUAUUGGGCAAUGGACGGAAGUCUGAACCAGCCAUGCCGCGUGCAGGAAGACGGCGCUAUGAGUGGUAAACUGCUUUUGUACAAGGGUAAACCUGAAUACGUGUAUUCCGCUGAAAGUACUGUACGAAUAAGGAUCGGCUAACUCCGUGCCAGCAGCCGCGGUAAUACGGAGGAUCCAAGCGUUAUCCGGAUUUAUUGGGGUUAAAGGGUGCGUAGGCGGGUUGGUAAGUUAGAGGUGAAAUGUCCGAGCUUAACUCGGGAACUGCCUCUGAUACUGUUGAUCUAGAGGGUAGGUGCGGUAGGCGGAAUGUAUGGUGUAGCGGUGAAAUGCUUAGAUAUCAUGCAGAACACCGAUUGCGAAGGCAGCUUACCAGUCUAUAUCUGACGUUGAGGCACGAAAGCGUGGGGAGCAAACAGGAUUAGAUACCCUAGUAGUC
rnacentral:rRNA from 1 species